rnacentral:rRNA from 1 species
AAUGAACGCUGGCGGCAUGCCUUACACAUGCAAGUCGAACGGCAGCACGGGGCAACCUGGUGGCGAGUGGCGAACGGGUGAGUAAUGCAUCGGAACGUGCCAUUGAGUGGGGGAUAACGUAGCGAAAGUUGCGCUAAUACCGCAUAUUCUGUGAGCAGGAAAGCAGGGGACCGCAAGGCCUUGCGCUCUUUGAGCGGCCGAUGUCAGAUUAGCUAGUUGGUAGGGUAAUGGCUUACCAAGGCGACGAUCAGUAGUUGGUCUGAGAGGACGACCAGCCACACUGGGACUGAGACACGGCCCAGACUCCUACGGGAGGCAGCAGUGGGGAAUUUUGGACAAUGGGCGCAAGGCCUGAUCCAGCAAUGCCGCGUGAGUGAAGAAGGCCUUCGGGUUGUAAGCUACUUUCAGUUGUAGAAGAAAAGUACGU